UAGCAGUCGAGCGACAGAUAAGGAGCUUGCUCCUUUGACGUUAGCGGCGGACGGGUGAGUAACACGUGGGUAACCUACCUAUAAGACUGGAAUAACUCCGGGAAACCGGGGCUAAUGCCGGAUAACAUUUAGAACCGCAUGGUUCUAAAGUGAAAGAUGGUUUUGCUAUCACUUAUAGAUGGACCCGCGCCGUAUUAGCUAGUUGGUAAGGUAACGGCUUACCAAGGCAACGAUACGUAGCCGACCUGAGAGGGUGAUCGGCCACACUGGAACUGAGACACGGUCCAGACUCCUACGGGAGGCAGCAGUAGGGAAUCUUCCGCAAUGGGCGAAAGCCUGACGGAGCAACGCCGCGUGAGUGAUGAAGGUCUUCGGAUCGUAAAACUCUGUUAUUAGGGAAGAACAAAUGUGUAAGUAACUAUGCACGUCUUGACGGUACCUAAUCAGAAAGCCACGGCUAACUACGUGCCAGCAGCCGCGGUAAUACGUAGGUGGCAAGCGUUAUCCGGAAUUAUUGGGCGUAAAGCGCGCGUAGGCGGUUUCUUAAGUCUGAUGUGAAAGCCCACGGCUCAACCGUGGAGGGUCAUUGGAAACUGGGAAACUUGAGUGCAGAAGAGGAAAGUGGAAUUCCAUGUGUAGCGGUGAAAUGCGCAGAGAUAUGGAGGAACACCAGUGGCGAAGGCGACUUUCUGGUCUGUAACUGACGCUGAUGUGCGAAAGCGUGGGGAU
rnacentral:rRNA from 1 species